rnacentral:rRNA from 1 species
GACGUAGGGGGCGAGCGUUGUCCGGAUUUAUUGGGCGUAAAGAGCGUGUAGGCGGCCAUGUAGGUCCGGUGUGAAAACUCGAGGCUUAACCUCGAGAUGUCAUCGGAAACCAUUUGGCUAGAGUCCGGAAGAGGAGAGUGGAAUUCCUGGUGUAGCGGUGAAAUGCGCAGAUAUCAGGAAGAACACCAAUGGCGAAAGCAGCUCUCUGGGACGGUACUGACGCUGAGACGCGAAAGCGUGGGGAGCGAACAGG